rnacentral:rRNA from 1 species
AUUGAACGCUGGCGGCAGGCCUAACACAUGCAAGUCGAGCGAGCGGCGGACGGGUGAGUAAUGUCUGGGAAACUGCCUGAUGGAGGGGGAUAACUACUGGAAACGGUAGCUAAUACCGCAUACCAUCAGAUGUGCCCAGGUGGGAUUAGCUAGUAGGUGGGGUAACGGCUCACCUAGGCGACGAUCCCUAGCUGGUCUGAGAGGAUGACCAGCGACAAUGGAACUGAGACACGGUCCAGACUCCUACGGGAGGCAGCAGUGGGGAAUAUUGCACAAUGGGCGCAAGCCUGAGGAAGCCAUGCCGCGUGUGUGAAGAAGGAAUUGGGGUUGUAAAGCACUUUCAGCGGGGAGGCGUUACCCGCAGAAGAAGCACCGGCUAACUCCGUGCCAGCCGCCGCGGUAAUAC